rnacentral:pre_miRNA from 1 species
AGCUAAGCUACGUGCUUCUUUGCAUCGCCAUAUGCAGAGUCAUUCAUGCUCAAAAUAAAUUUUAUGGAAUGUAAAGAAGUAUGUAGUUGAGCG